AACGGGUGGUAAUGCCGGAUGCUCCAGUUGGAUGCAUGUUCUUCUGGGAAAGAUUCAUCGGUAUGGGAUGGGGUCGCGUCCUAUCAGCUUGAUGGCGGGGUAACGGCCCACCAUGGCUUCGACGGGUAGCCGGCCUGAGAGGGCGACCGGCCACAUUGGGACUGAGAUACGGCCCAGACUCCUACGGGAGGCAGCAGUGGGGAAUAUUGCACAAUGGGCGCAAGCCUGAUGCAGCGACGCCGCGUGCGGGAUGACGGCCUUCGGGUUGUAAACCGCUUUUGACUGGGAGCAAGCCCUUCGGGGUGAGUGUACCUUUCGAAUAAGCACCGGCUAACUACGUGCCAGCAGCCGCGGUAAUACGUAGGGUGCAAGCGUUAUCCGGAAUUAUUGGGCGUAAAGGGCUCGUAGGCGGUUCGUCGCGUCCGGUGUGAAAGUCCAUCGCUUAACGGUGGAUCCGCGCCGGGUACGGGCGGGCUUGAGUGCGGUAGGGGAGACUGGAAUUCCCGGUGUAACGGUGGAAUGUGUAGAUAUCGGAA
rnacentral:rRNA from 1 species